GUUUCGUUGGUGCAGUGGUAGCAUGCCCUCUUAGGGUGGGGGUGGUCCUCGGUUCAAUCCCGGGACGAGACC
rnacentral:tRNA from 29 species